GUAGGUGGCAAGCGUUGUCCGGAAUUAUUGGGCGUAAAGCGCGCGCAGGCGGUUCUUUAAGUCUGAUGUGAAAGCCCACGGGCUCAACCGUGGAGGGUCAUUGGAAACUGGAGAACUUGAGUACAGAAGAGGAAAGCGGAAUUCCACGUGUAGCGGUGAAAUGCGUAGAGAUGUGGAGGAACACCAGUGGCGAAGGCGGCUUUCUGGUCUGUAACUGACGCUGAGGCGCGAAAGCGUGGGGAGCAAACAGGAUUAGAUACCCUGGUAGUCCACGCCGUAAACGAUGAGUGCUAAGUGUUAGGGGGUUUCCGCCCCUUAGUGCUGCAGCUAACGCAUUAAGCACUCCGCCGUGGGGAGUACGGCCGCAAGGCUG
rnacentral:rRNA from 1 species